rnacentral:rRNA from 1 species
UUUAAAUUUAGAGUUUGAUCCUGGCUCAGGACGAACGCUGGCGGCGUGCUUAACACAUGCAAGUCGAGCGAUGAAGCUUCCUUCGGGAAGUGGAUUAGCGGCGGACGGGUGAGUAACACGUGGGUAACCUGCCUCAAAGUGGGGGAUAGCCUUCCGAAAGGAAGAUUAAUACCGCAUAAUAU